rnacentral:SRP_RNA from 1 species
GCCGGGCGUGGUGGCACACGCCUGUAGUCCCAGCUGCUCGGGAGGCUGAGGUGGGAGGAUCGCUUGAGUCCAGGAGUUCUGGGCUGCAGUGCGCUAUGCCGAUCGGGUGUCCGCACUAAGUUCGGCAUCAAUAUGGUGACCUCCCGGGAGCAGGGGACCACCAGGUUGCCUAAGGAGGGGUGAACCGGCCCAGGUCGGAAACGGAGCAGGUCAAAACUCCCCUGCUGAUCAGUAGUGGGAUCGCGCCUGUGAAUAGCCACUGCACUCCAGCCGGGGCAAUAUAGUGAGACCCUGUA